UAGGGAAUCUUCGGCAAUGGACGAAAGUCUGACCGAGCAACGCCGCGUGAGUGAAGAAGGUUUUCGGAUCGUAAAACUCUGUUGUUAGAGAAGAACAAGGACGUUAGUAACUGAACGUCCCCUGACGGUAUCUAACCAGAAAGCCACGGCUAACUACGUGCCAGCAGCCGCUGUAAUACGUAGGUGGCAAGCGUUGUCCGGAUUUAUUGGGCGUAAAGCGAGCGCAGGCGGUUUCUUAAGUCUGAUGUGAAAGCCCCCGGCUCAACCGGGGAGGGUCAUUGGAAACUGGGAGACUUGAGUGCAGAAGAGGAGAGUGGAAUUCCAUGUGUAGCGGUGAAAUGCGUAGAUAUAUGGAGGAACACCAGUGGCGAAGGCGGCUCUCUGGUCUGUAACUGACGCUGAGGCUAGAAAGCGUGGGGAGCAAACAGG
rnacentral:rRNA from 1 species